UAGGUGACAAGCGUUGUCCGGAUUUACUGGGUGUAAAGGGCGCGCAGGCGGGACAGCAAGUCAGAAGUGAAAUACCGAGGCUCAACCUCGGGGCUGCUUUUGAAACUGUUGUUCUUGAGUAUCGGAGAGGAAAGCGGAAUUCCCAGUGUAGCGGUGAAAUGCGUAGAUAUUGGGAGGAACACCAGUGGCGAAGGCGGCUUUCUGGACGACAACUGACGCUGAGGCGCGAAAGUGUGGGGAGCAAA
rnacentral:rRNA from 1 species